AUGCCGCGGUCGCCGUCGCCGGAGCCGGAGAGGAGCUACCCCGCGCGCCGGAGGGGAGGCGGAGGCGGGAGCCACGUCCUGUCGUCGCGCUGCCGCUCGCCGUCGCCGCCGCCGCGCCGGUCGCUCCGCCCGCGCCGCGCCGCCGCCGCGUCCUCUCGCCCGCUCGUCGACGACUUCUUCCCUUUCCCCUCGUCGCCCUCCUUGUCGCCGCCCCGCCCCCAGCACCGGAGGGCGCCGUCGCCGGAGCCGUCCAGCUCCGACUCCGACGGAGGCGGCGUGGCUGGCUCCUCCGCCUCCGACCGCCGCCGGCGCAAGCUCAAGCUCGUCGUCAAGCUUUCCCAGCUUCCUCCGGACCAGCACCAUCGCCGGGCCCCACCUCCCCCUCCCUACUCGGACUCAUCGGAGGGGGAGGACCGGCCGGCUGGCGGAGGCGAGGAGCAGGUCAAGCCGCCCAAGAAGCGCCGGAUCGAGUCGCGCGACGACAGAUCUCGCAGUCGCGAGGUUGCUGGGAGGAGCGACGCUGCCAGCGCGCCGCGGACGAAGCGGCUUCCGGUGCCAGGGAUGGCAAGGACAACGCCGCUGCCGGACCGGCAGGCGCUGGAUAUGAUUCUUGACAAGCUGCAGAAGAAGGAUACGUACGGUGUGUUUGCUGAGCCGGUGGAUCCGGAGGAGUUGCCUGACUACAAUGAUGUGAUUGAGCACCCAAUGGACUUCGGCACCGUCAAGAGGAAGCUUGCUAGGAAUGCAUAUCGCUCGUUCGAGCAAUUCGAGGAUGAUGUUUUCUUAAUUUGCAGCAAUGCAAUGGUGUACAAUGCGCCUGAUACGGUUUACUUCAGACAGGCCCAUUCCAUACAAGAGCUGGCAAGAAAGAAGUUUCAAGAACUUAGGGACGAGGGCAUACCUACAGAAAACCAAGUAAAGAGUGAACAGAAAGUUGGACCUAUUCCGUGCAACAGAGGACCAAUCAAGAAGCCUGUUUUGAGGUAUUCAGAUGAUGAUCUAGACUUCUUGACCCGUAAAGAGCAAAUUAAGAGACCAAAUGCAAAAAUUUCUGGAGCUGACAUAAGCUUCAGAGAUCAAGUGAAGAAACCCGUCUCUAGGAAUUCAGAGAACGACUUAAGUUCUUCAUUCCACAAAGAACGAGUUAAGAAACCGAUUUUCAGAAAUUCAGAGAACAAUUUGAGUUCCUCGUUUCAUGGAGAGCAAGUUAAGAAAUCCAUAUCCAGAAAUUCGGAGGAUGAUCGAAGUUCCUCAAUCCGCCAAGUGAAAGUUAAAAAAGCCAUUUCAAGAAAUUCGGAGGAUGAUCGAAGCCCCUCAUUCCAACAAGGGCAAGUUAGGAAAGCCAUUUCAAGAAGUUCCGAAAAUGACCGAAGUUCCUCUUUGCCCCAACAGCAAGUCAAGAAACCUACUUCCCGGAGUUCAAAAGAUGGCUUGUCAUCCCAGAAGACACACGUUGGGAAGCCAGUUUGCAGAAAUGGAGAAGAUCCAGAUUGCUCAUUAGAGAAAGAGCCGUCUGAAAAUCCUGGCAGUGCGAAUGGAGAAGAUUUAGGCUUAUCCCCAGAAAAACUUGUUGAGGAGCCCAGUUGCAGAUACAGAGAUGACAUGGACCACUCCCGCCAAACAGAGUCGGCUAGGGAGCCUUUUUGCAGAGAUGGACAAGAUGAUCUAGGCGACUCCUGCAACGAAGAGAUUGCUAAGCCAUUUUGUUUGAAUGGCCAAGACGCAUUGGGUUCAAAUGUCUCUCCUGCCACCAUCGUUUCUGCAGGAGAUGGCUCUGAUGGCUUAAGCGUGUCACAGGCUAACGGUGCUGAGCCCCCUGAAUCUACUGCAGCCGAUGGGUGUUCCGACAAAGACAUCAGUUCUCCAGUGGAUGAGGUCAGGUCUGAGAAGACUGACGAUACUUCAGCACGAGAUUAUUCAGCAAAGCCCAGCCACAAGUCAUUUGUGGUAGACGAGACUAGACGAAAAACUUACCAUGAACAUGAAGACCAGCCUUCAUCAGAUUCUGACCUAAUAUUUGAUGUCUUCUGUGCGGAGCCAAAAGAGCUGAUAAAUGUUGGACUUCAUGCUGAGCACUCUUAUGCAAGAAGUUUGGCUCGUUUUGCUGGUUCACUUGGUGCCCAAGGUUGGAGAAUUGCUUCUGAGCGUAUUCAGCAGACAUUACCUGCUGAAGUGAGGUUUGGACGUGGCUGGGUUGGAGAAUAUGAGCCACCAUUGCCACCUAUUCUAGUUAUGCAAGACCAGUUACGAAGUCAGGUUAGCUCUGAUACGAAUAUGCAAAGGAAUGCUUCAGUGCCCAGAGAUAAUGAAAGACUCAGACCAACAGAAAGCAUUAAUUCAAAGGAUAUGAGCUUGAGUCUACUUAAUCGGAUAACCAGUGUUAAUAAUGUAAUUGGUGUGACUGGUUCACUUGAGAGUCCAGAACUUAAGCCAAGAUUAUUUGGUGUUUCUGCUGAACCCCAGCACAGGAACACUGAUGCCUUACCACUGCAUGAUAAACACAGAGCAUCUAGAAAUGCUGUGAAGACGAAAAGGGCAACCAAUGAUCAAGUUAGGAAAGGCAGACACUCCUCCAAUGCCUGCCCUCCUGAAGUGCAACCACAGAGGUCUGAAUGUUCAAAAGGAGCUUCUAGUGUGCUUGAUGUGCCUGCCGUGAACAAAAUGGCUGGUCACCGACCUUUUUUCCAACCGCCAGAAGCAGUCAGAGCUCAUCAAAUGAAAAAAAGCGACUCGUCUCAAAGUGCUCAGAGCACGAAAGGUCCUGGUGUUCAUGAUAUGCUUUCCCCAAACAAUGGUGUUGGGCAUCCUAAACCCUUCUUCCAAUCUCAGGAACCAGUUGCACCACAGCCCAAAAAUGAAGCUACAUGGGUGUACCAUGGAAGACCUGGUGAUGCAAAGUUUGGAACUUCUGAGAAAAGCAGACAAACGAGCAACAUUGGAUUCAUUACUAAAAAUGAACCGGUAAAUGCCAAUGGCUUUGCCAUGAAUGCGAGCGCACAGAAUAAUAUUAGUGACCAUGCAAAGUCAAUGGUACCAACCGCGGUACCUGGCCAAGUAAACGUAUCAAACCGAGGGUUUGAUGCUCCCAGGAACAUUUUCUCAGCAUUUCCAACAGCUGUUAGGGAGAACCAGGGCAUUCCGUCUGCUCCAGUAGCCCAAUCUUGGAUCUCAUUUGGUGCUUCAUCAGAGAACAAACCAACCAUAGUGAGUCCGAAUUUUAAUGACGGCAACUCUGGCUGGAAGAUGCCAUUUGCAAAUGUCCGAACUUGUGACGAAAUGAAGAUAAGUGCUGUUCCUCAGUUCUUUAGACAACCUGUUCAGGUUCCUAGAGAAAGUCCAGGUCAAAACAAGGGCUUGGUGAUAUUUCCACAGUUGGUCCAGACAGAUUUCUCAAGAUCACAGGGCCAAUCACAAUGGCAAGGGUUGGUUCCUCACAUGCAACAGAAGCCAAACAUGGAUAUGCUCCGUCCAGACUUGAACAUUGGGUUUCCCUCUCCAGGUUCACCACCAGCUCGACAGUCUUCGGGCAUCAAUUUGGAAGCACAACAGCCAGAUCUCGCCUUGCAGUUAUAA
rnacentral:rRNA from 1 species